AGAGGUUGUCUGGGUUUCUGUUUC
rnacentral:miRNA from 15 species